GAGGGUAGCUCAGUGGUAAAGAGUGUACUUAGCAUGCAGGAGGCUCUGGGUUCAAUCCCCAGCACACA
rnacentral:tRNA from 1 species